AGGAGUGAGUAACUGAGUGAAAACCUCCGCGAUUCAUCUUCAAGCCCUGUAACUGGCCAUUAUAUGCGAUUUAUCAAGGUACCUACCUAGGUGUUAAGUGAAUCGCCAAUGGGAAUUAAUUAAUAAAAACUGGAUUAAAGAAGAUGAUAAAUCUUUCCAAGCGAAAGUUUGGUUACUAAAGUUUAGACCGAAACCUGCUAAAUUGACUGAAACAUUGUAAUUUGUGUAGAGGCGAAACCCCAAGUUUUACUGGUGCUAAGUUUCGAGGCCAGGAGAAAUAGAGGUGUUGAUAGGAGGAAAUUCUGUUACGUAUUAGUUUAAUUCACUUUUGGAUCAUUUUUUUCCUAUUUGUGGGCAAAAAGUCUGAAAAUUAGAAGGCAUUGUUAUGCA